rnacentral:rRNA from 1 species
GAUGAACGCUAGCGGCAGGCUUAAUACAUGCAAGUCAAGGGGGUAGCAAUACAACCGGCGCACGGGUGAGUAACGCGUACACAACAUACCAUAUACUGGAGUAUAGCUUUGGGAAACUGAAGGUAAUCCUCCAUAACAUUGCGAGAGGGCAUCUGAUUGCAAUUAAAGUUCCGGCGGUAUAUGAUUGGUGUGCGUUUGAUUAGCUAGUUGGUAGGGUAACGGCCUACCAAGGCGACGAUCAAUAGCUGGCGUGAGAGCGCGACCAGCCACACUGGAACUGAGACACGGUCCAGACUCCUACGGGAGGCAGCAGUAGGGAAUAUUGGACAAUGGGCGAAAGCCUGAUCCAGCCAUGCCGCGUGAUAGAUGAAGGCCCUCUGGGUUGUAAAUAUCUUUUUAUCUGGGAAGAAACUCCUCUAUUCUUAGAGGCCUGACGGUACCAGAGGAAUAAGCACCGGCUAACUCCGUGCCAGCAGCCGCGGUAAAG